AAUGUCGUCGUGAUAGUAAUUCUGCUCAGUACGAGAGGAACCGCAGAUUCAGACAAUUGGUAUUUGCACUUGGUUGAAAAGCCAAUGGUGCGAGGCUACCAUCUGUCGGAUUAUGACUGAACGCCUCUAAGUCAGAAUCCGUGCUAGGUACGACGAUUUUUACUUCUAGCGACUGAAGAUGAAUAAGGAUAGAGCUUCGGCUCCUGCGUCCCAUUGUGCGGAAGAGGAGAUAAACCUCGGAUGCCAACAAUUUUAAAUUUUGACGUUGCUAGAAAUAAAUCCUUUGCAGACGACUUAAAUAUAGAACGGGGUAUUGUAAGUGGUAGAGUAGUCUUGUUACUACGAUCCACUGAGAUUAAGCCCUUGUUCUCGCGAUUU
rfam:Trichoplax adhaerens TRIADscaffold_40 genomic scaffold, whole genome shotgun sequence.